AGAGUUUGAUCCUGGCUCAGGAUAAACGCUGGCGGCGCACAUAAGACAUGCAAGUCGAACGGAAGUCGUUAUAAAAGGAGAGAAGAUUUGUCGGAUUGAAUUUUAUAACAAUGGCUUUAGUGGCGGACUGGUGAGUAACGCGUAAGGAACCUACCUAUUAGAGGGGAACAACAAUGAGAAAUCAUUGCUAAUACCGCAUAUGCCAUAACUACCGCAUGGUAGAAGUGGGAAAGGAGUAAUCCGCUGAUAGAUGGCCUUACGUCUGAUUAGUUAGUUGGUGGGGUAACGGCCUACCAAGACGACGAUCAGUAGCCGGACUGAGAGGUUGAACGGCCACAUUGGGACUGAGAUACGGCCCAGACUCCUACGGGAGGCAGCAGUCGGGAAUAUUGCGCAAUGGAGGAAACUCUGACGCAGUGACGCCGCGUGCAGGAAGAAGGUUUUCGGAUUGUAAACUGCUUUAGACAGGGAAGAGAAAGGACAGUACCUGUAGAAUAAGCUCCGGCUAACUACGUGCCAGCAGCCGCGGUAAUACGUAGGGAGCGAGCGUUAUCCGGAUUUAUUGGGUGUAAAGGGUGCGUAGACGGGAAUACAAGUUAGUUGUGAAAUACCUCGGCUUAACUGAGGAACUGCAACUAAAACUAUAUUUCUUGAGUACAGGAGAGGUAAGUGGAAUUCCUAGUGUAGCGGUGAAAUGCGUAGAUAUUAGGAGGAACACCAGUGGCGAAGGCGACUUACUGGACUGAAACUGACGUUGAGGCACGAAAGUGUGGGGAGCAAACAGGAUUAGAUACCCUGGUAGUCCACACCGUAAACGAUGGAUACUAGGUGUAGGAGAUAUUAAGUCUUCUGUGCCGUCGCAAACGCAGUAAGUAUCCCACCUGGGGAGUACGGCCGCAAGGUUGAAACUCAAAGGAAUUGACGGGGGCCCG
rnacentral:rRNA from 1 species